UGGGGAUUCGUCUAACGGUAGGACGACAGACUCUGGAUCUGUUAGUCCUGGUUCGAAUCCAGGAUCCCCAGCCA
rnacentral:tRNA from 1 species